GACGAACGCUGGCGGCGCGCUUAACACAUGCAAGUCGAGCGAAGCGGCGGACGGGUGAGUAACACGUGAGUAACCUGCCUUAGACAUUGGGAUAGCCUCGGGAAACCGGGAUUAAUACCAAAUGGUCUAAGAUGGACUCGCGUCCCAUUAGAUAGUUGGUGAGGUAACGGCCCACCAAGGCGAAGAUGGGUAGCCGGACUGAGAGGGUGAACUGCCAUAGUGGAACUGGGAAGCCGUCCAAACUCUACGGUAGGAAGCAGUGGGGGAUAUUGCGCAAUGCGCGAAAGCCUAAUGCAGCGACGCCGCGUGGGGGAUGAAGGCUUGCGGGUUGUAAACCGCUUUCGCUAUGGCUCAUUUUUUGGUGGGUGGAGGGUAGGUGAAGAAGAAGCGCCGGCUAACUACGUGCCAGCAGCCGCGGUAAUAC
rnacentral:rRNA from 1 species